rnacentral:rRNA from 1 species
AUUGAACGCUGGCGGCAUGCUUUACACAUGCAAGUCGAGCGGCAGCGCGGGGGCAACCCUGGCGGCGAGCGGCGAACGGGUGAGGAAUACAUCGGAACGUGCCCGAGAGUGGGGGAUAACGCCGCGAAAGCGGCGCUAAUACCGCAUAUUCUCUGCGGAGGAAAGUGGGGGACCGCAAGGCCUCACGCUCCCGGAGCGGCCGAUGUCGGAUUAGCUAGUUGGUGGGGUAAAGGCUUACCAAGGCGACGAUCCGUAGCUGGUCUGAGAGGAUGAUCAGCCACACUGGGACUGAGACACGGCCCAGACUCCUACGGGAGGCAGCAGUGGGGAAUUUUGGACAAUGGGGGGCAACCCUGAUCCAGCCAUGCCGCGUGC